rnacentral:sRNA from 2 species
AUAACUGGUCAGAACUCUUUUGCAGAGUGAGCCUUCUUAAGACAAGCUGUUUUUAUCUUUCCAUAGGUAUGAAUCCUAGGACCCAGAAUAAGGAUUCUCUAGAGGACAGUGUUUCUACCUCUCCAGACCCAAGGCCUGCAGAAUGACUACACAGAGGGCUGUUAUGAUCUCCUUCCAGAAGCAGACAUCGACAGGAGGGACGAAGAUGGUGUGCAGAUGACAGCCCAGCAG